ensembl:lncRNA
UCUGUAUACAGAGUAGUUACGUGUGUGCCUGUGAAGGAGAAUCGGAAAAACAAGGGAUGUUUCCACCUUUCAGGACACUUUAGAAAGAUUAAAAAAAAUAAUAAUAAUAAUCUCCUGAACUAGCAAUUAAAAGAAACCAACGAGAGUUUCCCAAAUAAUUAUGAGUAUCUGGAACCUAAAUUUUUUUUCUCAUACUAUCAUUAACCAUGACUGGUUUCAGGGGAAGGUAUUCUGUUCGGUUGGAAUUUACAGAACCUGGAUCUCUCUGGGAGCACUGAAUCAACUUUUGCAUGAGGAAUCCCAAACCUUCUCAUCAUCCCUGUCUGGCGAGUGGGUUACUAUUCCUUUAGAAGGUUGAGAGGAUUGUUGGCACCUUUACCUUCCUCCGAAAAUAAGACUUAACAAAUAAAAGCACACCAAGAUACAGUUCUCAUAAGACCUUGUGCAUUUCCUUUCUAAAAGGAAUUUAAGUUUCAACAGAGAACAAAGACUAAACACCCAAAACAAAGAGUUUCUAAUGAUAGAAGUUGGGACAUCAGCCCAUGAGAGAGAGAAGGGCUGCUUUGGGGGCAGGAGGCUCUGUAGGGGCCCUUCGGAUGUGUCCACCUGUGAGUAAAUGUAAGCCACACUGGCACCCCACUCCAGUACUCUUGCCUGGAAAAUCCCAUGGACAGAGGAGCCUGGUAGGCUACAGUCUAUGGGGUCACACAGAGUCAGAUACGACUGAAUGACAUCACAGUGCAGUCCUGCCUUCUAAGGCCUUUCAGAAACCCAAAGAUGCUCCAAAGGGCAAGUUUCAGUUCUGCAGAUGGGUUUAUUUACUGCCAGUAUCUCCAUCUCCAAGCUUACUUUCCUCUUCACCAGAAAUAAAUCUUUUGGAGGCUUAUGAAAAUUAAGUAUUAGGAAAAUUCUUCCCUCAUCUACAAGAUUGCAUCCACAAGUCCCAAAAAUCACUUCCUUGACCUUCACAUAUAUAAGGUCAAGGAAGGUCUGUGACUCGGAGAAGGGGCCUGGAAGAGUCGGUGCAGGUGUCUGGUCCCGCUGGAUUCCAGCUAAAAUGGAGGGUGUGUGUUGGGGUGGUCUCUUUCCUCUCAGUCCUUCCCUGAACUCACUAGUUCAUGCUGCACUGCUCUUCCAGAUCAAUAAGUUAUUGCUGAGAAAUCAUUUCAGUGCAUGACGUAAAUGUCUGCAGUGGAGCCAUCCCCCUCCAUAACCCACUGUCCUUUCAGUCUGUGCCCCAGAAUCCUUGCCCCACGUCCCAGAGAAAUUCAGCUACCCUUGUCCUUUUCAGGGGAAAAAACACUGAUUGAUAUCUUAGCCCUGACAUUUCACCCUUUUUUAUCUCAGAAUGCAGAAACCCCUUCGCGUUUGUUGUGUUUUUUACUCAAGGUUAAUAAAGAUCCCCAGGCACAUGCAGUUCCGUGCUGCAUUCUGAAGCCUGUAAUUGUCCUUCCUUCUAAUUGGGGGAAAGGUUACUCUAAUGAACCAGCUACUGAUUCCCUUACCUAUUCACUGUUUUAUCAGUAUACCUUUACCAGUAAAUUCUUUGUUAUCUAGAUCCUGAAAUUUAUUUCAUUUUUUUUAAGAUUUAAUUUUUUUUUUUUUUUUUUUACAAAAUUGCUUCUUUUAUAGCAGACUGUGAUCUUUUUGCUUCUGAGUACUUUAUAAUACAAUUUGAACAUAAUAGAACAUUCUAAAAUAAAGCCAGGCAGGGAUUUCAUCCUAACCACUUAAAUGCUGGGAGAGGCAGACUGUAUUUUUUAAAAAGAUAGAAGGAGGGCUGGGAUGGAGGAAGCUGGAUCACAUAAUUCAACCAGUAUAUUUGAGGCUUCUGCUGCAUGCUGAGUGCUGGUCUAGGCUCUGAGGAUACAGAAACAAAUAGGACAGCAUCCUGGCCCUCACAGAGAUUCAUAUUCUGAUGAGUUCAUUCAUAACAAAGGUAAUUCAAAGCUAGCAAUACCCCCUAAAGGCUGUUUGUAGCUUAUUUCUAUGACUGUCUAUGGGAUCUUAAAUCUGUUUGGAAAGAUAUGUUUUAAAUCCUGUUUUCUUGGGCCAUUAGAAACCCAUACUUGUCCCUGAUCAAUGUAUAUGGUUAUGUGUAACUGUCAUAGAGUAAAAAAGUCCCUCUAAACAGCUUUCGAAGGGAUAGACAGAGAAAUCUGUCUUGAUGGCUUGAAAAGAAAUGGAAGAAUUUUAGGGAAAACUACCAAGCUCCAAAAGCAUUCAGAUCUACUAGUGUUCAGACAUGGGAUCAGGCAGAUGAAAAAGCCUUCUAGCAAGAGGGAGCCAGGGUCAUGGAAGCAUGGAGACCCCACUGAAGGAGUUAGAAGCCAGGCUGCAGGCAUUUGUUAAUAUGUCUGCUGAGUAAAGGUGGAAGAGGAGCUGUGGAGACAAGGAGUUGUGGUGGAAGCAGAUGCUGAAAUACAGAACCCUGAAACCGGCUUGUUCUCAGAGUCAUCUGACCCAACCUCCUGCCUCCAAGCAUAUCCCGCCUGCACUGUCUGACCAGCUGCUCUUUCAGCUCUCCAAGGAUGGAUAUUCCACAACCUACCCUGUCAUCUGUUCCAGAACCACAUCCUCCUGGCACUUAGAAGUUUUUGCUUUUAAAGAAUGGAGGCAGGAGAGAGGUGGUCCAAAAAUGGGGAGACAAGCAGAGCAAGUCAGGGCAGAGGACUUGCAGGGGAGCUGGAGGUAGGAACUGUCUUCGCACAUCACCCUCCUUCACACUCCAGGGCGGUGGGAACACUGGAAGGGGGAGCCCACCAUCUGGAACCACCCUCACGGAAGCCCUGGUUGGCAGAGCGAAGGUUCCUGUUCCUCUCCAAGAAAGCAGUGGGAAUCUAGACAUCUGCAGUCUCUCAUGUCUUCAGUACCCUUUUGCAUUCUACGCGCUUUGUACAAGUCAUUACUUUUCAAACCAAUUCUUGGAUGCAGAGAAAUCUUGGGUAGUCCAAGUGGCCUUAGAUCCAAGUAAAGGACAUGAGGUCCAAGUGGACAUAGAUCCAGGUAAAGGACAUCAGCAAGCCCUACUCCAUUCAGACUUUUCCAUCUGCCUCCACCCUCUCAGUCACAUUCCUGGAAGCAAACCAGAAAGUUCAUCCAACAAAAAUCACUGAAAAAAUCUGAAAGCCUAAGUGCUUUUUUAUUCUCCCUCUGUUUUCAAGGCACAGUGUGUCUGGUCUGAUCUCACUCCAUUUAUAGUUCUCUGGCUUUCGUGGCUCUGCAACACAGGACUGUCAGAGCAGGAAGGCAAGCAGAGGCAGGAUGGCUGCAGACACAGAGCAGAGGCUGCUGCUGGCAUGGGAGCAAUAGUCCCAUGGCCAUCACAACCCACACUGGGGUCCUGGUGUGCCGUAGAGGCUUCAUCUUCCCCCAUUCCUUGGGUUUCCUGGAGGGUUGAGUCUCAUUACCGUCCCUGCUCUCCCUGACCCUCCUCCCAGCCCCAGGCUGCACUGAAGCCCCUGACUCCCUUUCAUUCUGUGGAAGAGCAGAGUCUCUGCCUGUUGAAAUCUGGUCCACCCUGAGGAUGGUUUUUGGCUGAAACGGCUGCAGUUGAGCAAAGAAGUUCUGACUGUCAGCGUGAAUGAGUCCUCCAGUAGGCUUCAGCAGGUUCCCUGCCUCUGUGGUUCUAAUUUAGAGAAGGGGCAGGGGCGGUCCCAAAGAACUGAGGAUAGACCAGAUGAUCUCUUGAGAUUCCUCCCAGAACCUGACUUUUGAAUAGCAACACUAAGAUCCAGUUAACACACAGGCUUCCUGCCAGGAGGUACUCCUCCUCACAUGACACCCCAUGCACCUGGGAAGAUGUUCUCCUAGCAUGAGACACAGUGCACAAAUUCUGUGCGACCCCAUAGACAGCAGCCCACCAGGCUCCCCUGUCCCUGGGAUUCUCCAGGCAAGAACUCUGGAGUGGGUUGCCAUUUCCUUCUCCAAUGCAUGAAAGUGAAAAGUGAAAGUGAAGUUGCUCAGUCGUGUCUGACUCUUCACAACCCCAUGGUCUGUAGCCUACCAGGCUCCUCUGUCCAUGGGAUUUUCCAGGCAAGAGUACUGGAGUGGGGUGCCAUUGCCUUCUCCAGCAAAAAUAGGUUGCAGGGAGGAGGCUUAAAAUCUGCCCUCACUGAACUGUCAUGCCAGGGGAUGUGUGUAUCUGCUGACCUGGCUCUUUGACCUGGUGGGCCUAUACAACUGUCCAAACAUUGAGUGUGUGUGAUAAAUUCCCCUCUGACACUCAUCGCAACUUCUGAGUGUUCUGUGCAGUUUAAAAUAAUUCUUACCAUGUAAAUAUGUUACAUUUUAAUAAAAAGAUUUUUUUUGCAUUUUACUUUUGUAAUAUUUGGGGUUUUAUAGAUUUUUAUUUUAUUGCCAAGUAUACUUUUGUAAGGGAAUGUUGAAGUCUUGAGUAUUUUUAUUCUUUUCAAACUAUAGUUAAUGUCAACUGUAAGCACUGAUAAAUAUUAUUCAUAUGCGAUUUUCCUUCCUCUCCAUCGGGUCUUUUUAAGGAACUGUGUUUUGGCAUAGCAUUUUAUUUAAAACUCUGCUUCAUUUUACACAUUGUGAAUACUGAAGACUCUGAAAAAUAAAGAUGCAUUUAAAAUCUCUGUGCUGCUACAUUUUAGAAAUGGUAAUGUGCAUUGCUUUGCCAGAGUGGUAAUUAAAUGUUUAAUGGUUUAGAACUCCUAGUUCAGAAUGGGGGUUCUAGUCAUUACUCACAGUACGGAGCCUCUGAGCCAGCCCCCACUUCUUGGGAGAUGCACACGAGAAUGGUGAUUUCCUGCUCAGUGUGGAAAUAUGGUUAUGUUGACAUUAUAGUUACUGUGCUGUGGUUUUGAAAUAAAUGUGUAUUGAAAGCACUUGUG